UGAUUGUAAGGUCUCUGUAUUUGAGGU
rnacentral:sRNA from 1 species